rnacentral:lncRNA from 15 species
GCACAAAACCAAGAUAAGGGAUUAAGCCAGGAUAUGUUGGUUAUCCUGGCUUAAUUUAGCCUCAAGUCGGUUGCAUGAAAGCAGCUCAAACUUAUCCCGGCCAAGUUACUAUGGUGAUUUAUUCUCUGCUGUUAGCCUGCUCCAGACCAGGCUAACAGCCAGGCUAAGAUUAAUCCUAGUGAUUCACCUGUAUUUCCAUCGUCAGUCCUGUGAGGAAUUAAUGUGUUUUACAGCAUGUCCAUGGUCUUUCUAAGUAUGUUGCAUCAUUUUAAUUAUCCUGCGUUAAAAUAUUACAUAUAUAUUGUCAUUUCUUAUUUCAUUUAAAUCUGUUGGCUGUUUGUAAUGCAAACAGUCUUUUUAUAUGAUUUCAAGUGGUAGUAUUAUUACUCAGGACAAGUGUUAUAUUGCUAUGCUAAUGAAGACUGCUUGUCAAAUGACAUAAAUAUUUGUUUAUUGCAGUAAUUGAGAUUACAAAACACAGCUGAUGAAGUUGCAAAGCUGUUUUCAAUGAAAUCUGUGACAAGGGCAAAAUAAUAUAUAUAUUAUGGCAUACCAUUUAAGAAAUUAAUCUUUGAAUAUAUAGAAUGAAACUUUGAAUAUAUGGAAUGAAUCUUUUAAUAUAUUUAAUGAAUCUUUGAAUAUAUAGAAUGAAACUUUGAAUAUAUUGAAUGAAACUUGACUGGUCAUCAAGGCACUGCUGCCAUCUUGUAGAAGUGAGAAUGAGUCAGUCAGGAACCUUGUGGCAGCAAUACUGAGCAAUGAGGACAUUAUUAACUCAUUGGUAAGUGCUUGUACGGGCCACAAUCCUUCCCAUAGUACCCGUGCCCAAUACCGUUCUCCUGACGAAGAAGUUCACUCCCUUUUUAAUGGUGAGAAUGAGUCAGUCAGGAACCUUGUGGCAGCAAUACUGAGCAACGAGGACAUUAUUAACUCAUUGGCAAGUGCUUGUACGGGCCAAAAUCCUUCCCAUAGUACCCGUGCCCAAUACCGUUCUCCUGACGAAGAAGUUCUUUUUAAUGGUGGCAGGCCGACUACAACAGGCCUCAGGCUAAAUCCUGACAGAAAAAGCAAAAAAGUUUUCCAGUUUAAGAAAGUAUUGUAAUAUUUCAACUGAUGCCAUUUUGUAAAAGCAGCUAAUUCAGAAGGCUAUCACUUUGAUGAAAAGGAUACAACUAGGUUUUCAAUUUCAUUCAGUAUUCUCACAUUUUUAUCAUUUUUAUAGCCAAGCUUCAUUCCAUAUAUACAAAGAUUUAUUUCCUAAACGGCAUGUCAUAAUAUAUAUAUACAUAUAUAUAUAUAUACAUAUAUAUAUAUUAUUC